UACGUAGGCAGCGAGCGUUGUUCGGAAUUACUGGGCGUAAAGAGUGUGUAGGCGGUGCUCUAAGUUCGGUGUGAAAUCUCCUGGCUCAACUGGGAGGGUGCGCCGGAAACUGGAGUGCUUGAGCGUGGGAGAGGAAAGCGGAAUUCCUGGUGUAGUGGUGAAAUGCGUAGAUAUCAGGAGGAACACCUGUGGUGUAGACGGCUUUCUGGACCAAAGCUGACGCUGAGACACGAAAGCGUGGGUAGCAAACAGG
rnacentral:rRNA from 1 species